GCCUGGCUGGCUUAGUUGGUAGAGAGUGGGACUCUGAAUCUCAGGGUUGUGAGUUCAAGUCCCACACUGAGUG
rnacentral:tRNA from 1 species